AGUUUGAUCAUGGCUCAGGACGAACGCUGGCGGCGUGCUUAACACAUGCAAGUCGAGGGCACUUUGGGGGCAACUCUGGAGUGACCGGCGAACGGGUGCGUAACACGCGAGCGACCUUGCCUCGUGGUGGGGGAUAGCCGGCCCAACGGCCGGGUAAUACCGCAUAGGGUGCUGUCUUCGCAUGGAGAGAGCAGCAAAGCCCUGGAGCAAUCCAGUGGCGCCACAGGGGGGGCUCGCGGCCUAUCAGCUAGUUGGGGGGGUAAUGGCCCACCAAGGCGACGACGGGUAGCUGGUCUGAGAGGAUGGCCAGCCACAUUGGGACUGAGAGACGGCCCAGACUCCUACGGGAGGCAGCAGUGGGGAAUCUUGCGCAAUGGCCGAAAGGCUGACGCAGCGACGCCGCGUGGGGGAGGAAGGCCUUCGGGUUGUAAACCCCUGUUGCCCGGGACGAAUGUGCACUAUUGGGUGCAUUGACGGUACCGGGUGAGGAAGCACCGGCUAACUCCGUGCCAGCAGCCGCGGUAAUACGGAGGGUGCAAGCGUUGUCCGGAAUCACUGGGCGUAAAGGGCGCGUAGGCGGCUCAUGAAGGCUGUGGUGAAAGUCCGGGGCUCAACCUCGGAUCGGCCGUGGCGACUCGUGGGCUGGAGCACUGUAGAGGCGGGUGGAAUUCCGG
rnacentral:rRNA from 1 species